rnacentral:rRNA from 1 species
AGCUCCAAUAGCGUAUAUUAAAGUUGUUGCGGUUAAAAAGCUCGUAGUUGGAUUUCUGCCGAGGACGACCGGUCCGCCCUCUGGGUGAGCAUCUGGCUCGGCCUUGACAUCUUCUUGGUGAACGUAGCUGCACUUGACUGUGUGGUGCGGUACCCAGGACUUUUACUUUGAGGAAAUUAGAGUGUUUCAAGCAGGCAUACGCCUUGAAUACAUUAGCAUGGAAUAAUAAGAUAGGACCUUGGUUCUAUUUUGUUGGUUUCUAGAGCUGAGGUAAUGAUUAAUAGGGAUAGUUGGGGGCAUUCGUAUUUAACUGUCAGAGGUGGAAUUCUUGGAUUACGUUACGACGAACUACUGCGAAAGCAUUUGCCAAGGAUGUUUUCA